rnacentral:rRNA from 1 species
UGUAGUCAUAUGCUUGUCUCAAAGAUUAAGCCAUGCAAGUCUAAGUAUAAGCAUUUAUACUGUGAAACUGCGGAAAGCUCAUUAUAUCAGUUAUAGUUUAUUUGAUGGUAAACCCACUACAUGGAUAACCGUAGUAAUUCUAGAGCUAAUACAUGCCCAGAAGCGGUUUCGUAAGGGACCGUGGACUUAUUAGAUCAAGAGCCAACCCUGCUUCGGCAGGACUAAGCUGAAUCAUAGUAAUUUCGCUAAUCGCAUGGUCUUGUACCGGCGAUGGGUCAUUCAAAUUUCUGCCCUAUCAGCUGUGAUGUUAGUGUAGUGGACUAACAUGGCAUAAACGGGUGACGGAGGAUUAGGGUCUGAUUCCGGAGAGGGAGCCUGAGAAAUGGCUACCACUUCCAAGGAAGGCAGCAGGCGCGUAAAUUACCCAAUCCCGAUACGGGGAGGUAGUGACAAGAAAUAACAAUACCGGAUCUUUCUAGAUCUGGUAAUUGGAAUGAGUACAACCUAAACUCCUUAACAAGGACCGAUUGGAGGGCAAGUCUGGUAAUCG